UCCGGUUUGUCACCGGCAGUCUCCUUAGAGUUCCCGCCAUUACGCGCUGGCAACUAAGGACAAGGGUUGCGCUCGUUGCGGGACUUAACCCAACAUCUCACGACACGAGCUGACGACAACCAUGCACCACCUGUGCAGGGCCCCGAAGGACACCGUAUCUCUACGGCUUUUCCCUGCAUGUCAAGCCCAGGUAAGGUUCUUCGCGUUGCAUCGAAUUAAAGAACAUGCUCCGCUGCUUGUGCGGGCCCCCGUCAAUUCCUUUGAGUUUUAGCCUUGCGGCCGUACUCCCCAGGCGGGGUGCUUAAUGCGUUAGCUGCGGCACGGAAGGAGUCGACACCUCCCACACCUAGCACCCAUCGUUUACGGCGUGGACUAC
rnacentral:misc_RNA from 1 species